GAUUCUCCCACCUCAGCCUCUCGAGUAGCUGGGAUUACAGAUGAAGACAUUGCCCAGAAAGUCUAAGGAAUUGACUUGCACAGAGUCACACACCUAACUGAGAUAUGAGGAACACAGAUCCAAAUCUGGGAAAAUACAUUAAGAAGAAAUAAAUGGAAAAAAGUCUAUUCACGUGAAAGAAAUGUAGCUUAUCUGAUAGAACUUAUUGGGAGUGAGAUGUGGGGUGGUGGAGAUGUUGAAAGGUCAUGCUUGAAAAAAAACAGAGGAAAGUAUUUGGUUUCGUAUUCUUUCCCCUUCACAAUUGUGAAUAGUAGCGGCUUUUCCCUUCUAUUUAACGGGGAAUUUUCUUUACUUGCUCAGUACCUUCUCCUCCACCCUGCAAGGAAACCUCAAUCAUAUGUUUAUAAUCUGUUUACUUCAAAUGAUUAGCAUGAAUUUUGUAGUCACUAUAGAGUUUAUCCUUCAGAUGUUACCCAAUUUUUAAGUCACCAGGACACUGUGUCUAUUCUUAGCCUCCGGGGUAGACACGUAUUAUGGGUUGGCACAGAGACUAGUUCCAUGAGUGAGAAAGCAGCAUUCAGUGGGACAGAGGCCAGGAACAAAACGUCAGUGGGUCAGGGUGGAGUGGGAAGAGCUUGGUAACUCAGGGGAAGGAAUGAGAAAUUUUUCUUAAAAGAGAAAUUCUUCCACUUUAGAAGGACUCUUGUGUAUGGCAGAUUUCAAAUUUCUGCUCUAUAAGUUGGCUUGUAGCUUUCUGCCUCUAGAGCAGUGGUUUCAAACACUGAUUUGGAUCACAGUUCCUUUUGAGGAUUUCACAUAGCUACGAAUUCUGCCUCUCCUCCUAUCCCCCAAAAACACAUGCAGCUAAUAAUUUUGUCUACAAUUUCAGGGAACUUGCAAAUUCUCUAAACAUCCACAGACUAUCCAUAGAGCUCAGGUUGAAAACUCAAGCCCUUCCACUCUCCACCUCAAAGGUUGGUGUUUAUGAAAGCAAUAAGGUGAUUUUUCCUUGGAUACAGCCUCUACACUGUAUCCCAGCUUAAAAUCAUCCAUAGCUCCUCGCUAACUUUGGGAUCACGUCCUAACUCCCAAGAAGAGCACAUAAGGCCUUCCAUGAUCUGGCCUUUGUGUCUUUCUCCAGUAUUAUCUCUCAACACAUCCUUUCCUCACUCUGUACUAUAGUGAUAUGAAACUAAAUGCAGUUCUCCAAACCCACAGAGCUCUUUUCUCCAAAUGUUUGUAUAUGGUCAUAUCCUUUCUGCCUGGAACACUCUCUGCCCCUUCCUACCAGGUGAACAUCCAUUUUUUUCUGGGCUCAACUUGGAUGUCAUUUCUUUUUCAGGAAGUCUUCUCUGACCAUCCAGAGCUGAGUUAGGUGUCCCUCUCCUGUGCUUUUGUAAUACCCAGUACUUGCCCAGUAGGCAGCUCUUGUCACUCUAUAUCACAACUGCUUGUUUGCUUAUACCUAGCUCCCAUUUUAAGUGGUUGAAAGGCUGGGACAUGUUCAUUGUGAAAUUUCCAGGGUACAGCAGACUCUCCAUAGAUGUUUUCUGCAUUAAAAAUAAAUGAAUGAUUGAAGAAGCAAUGUGACGGAAAAAAUGAGGACAGAACUUCCUGCUGUGAGGCACAUGGGGUGAAAAUGUUGGCUCUUUUCAAAGGCAAAUGGAAAACCAAAGUUGGGGAGAAAGGCAAAGGUUGAGCAACUUUGUUGAAUCCAAUGUUGUUUUUAUGGGUGUGCCACCUUAGAAGGGCCCUUAGCAAUAAGAACGUCUUAGGAAGGAAAAGUUAGUGGUGAAUGAUGACGGGGAUCAUGACGACAAUGACGAUGAUGAUGAGGCUAAUGAGGAUAAUAAUGGGAGGAUGAUGGGGAUGAUGAGGAUGAGGAGGAGGAUCAUGGGGAUGAUGAGGAUGAUAUGCAUGUGUUGGAAGGCAGGGAGAAGGCACACUGAUGGAGUAAGGGUUUUACUUGUAUUAAUAGUUCUCAUUUUUUGAAAGAUAAAUGCCAAGGCAUGCAUUGAGGGCCUGCAUUUAUUAUCUUAAUGAGUCCCCACAAUAAUUAUGUUUUAAUUACUAUUCAUAUUUUAAAGAUAAGGAGACACAAGUUACAGAACUUGUCUUUUUUCCCCACAUGUAUGCCUUUAAAAUCAAAAGUACUUUAAAGGCUACUGAGCUUAAUAAACAAGAUAACAGACAAAAUAUAAAUCUAUUUUAAAAUCCCUCUGUUUGAAAAGCAGUAUCAGCGAGCAGGCAGCAAUAAUGAAAGGUGGGUUCUGGGAUCAGGCAGACCUGGGUUCAAAUUUCAACUCUGCUUUUUUCUAUGUUGUAUAUGGGUAAAAUAUAAUACAUUUUACUUCCAAUGAUGGUUAAGAACAAAUAGCAUAAAGUAAGCGAAGUACAGAUAUGCAACAGGUUCAAAACAAAUAUUAAUAUCUACACUUAAGUCAAUACGAUAUUAAUGUCAUAUGAAUUUUCUGAAUAUCAUACAUAUAAUGAAAGGCACUACAUUAAAUGAUAUACACUUUCUGAUCAUCAGAUAGCGAUGGUAGCAUGGCAUUUCUAGUAAUAGUAAUAAAUCAACAAACAAUAAUUAUCCAGAAAUGUUCUUACUUAAACUUAGUAAUAGCUGAGCAUUAUCACCACUGCCUCUACCAACUAAAAUGAGAUUAGGAAAUUAUGUUUAAGAGUAAUGUUAUCUUUUGUUGAGUUUAUUCUAUAAAGUGAAUAAACUAUCAAUCCCCUUUUCCUUUCCCUUUGGUAUACUGUAUAUCAGGCCUAUACUUUCUCUUCACAAAAGCAUUCAUUUCAAAAGGAUAUACAUUAGAAACUAGUUUUAUACCUUAAAAUUAUCCAUUCCUCUGGAAAUGUUUGGAAAUUAUUCUGGUUUUGGAUAGGACAAGUUAUAAACAUUUUCUGUUCUCAUUAAAAGUGAAGGCAAUUCAGUAAACAGUAAUGAUGGAGACUGAAGAAGGGGUAAAUGAUACCACAGUUCCAAAGAAAGAAAAUCCCUUUUAAAGGGUUAGUUCUUAAAUCAAAAUGAUGGCCAAAUUAUACAUGAAACAAACCUGGAAUAAAAAAAUUGAUUUCCAAAGAUGGCUUCUUAUACCCUAUAAAAAAUAUAAGAUCUUUCCUUUGGGAGUUAAAAAAUCCUAGUAAGUAAUUUUGACUCUGGAAUUUUAGCUUAAUGACAAUUGUAUAGCCUACUUUUAGCUGCUUGUUAUAUUCUUCAUGAUAGCAAAGCAAGAAAUCUUAGAAAAUUCUCAUAUGUCUCAUGUGAUAUCCCAUGACAGUAUAUUAUAAUAAUGAAAAAAUGUAGCUUUUGUAGUUCGAAUGCCUAUGUGUAAAUAUUUGCUUCAUACUUUACUAAUUGUUUUUCUUGGACAAAUUAUACAAUUUUGUGUGUUUCGAUUUCUUGUCUACUAUGGAGUAAAUAAUAGUGCCUUUCUCAUGGAAUUGCUGUAUGGCUUGAAUAAGAUCAUGUAAAUAAAAUAUGUGACACAGUCUCUGACCCCUGUGAGGUGUUUGGUAUGGUUUUAAUGAUGCGUCUCCUCCAAAAUUCCUGUUGAAAUCUAAUCCUCAGGGUGGUGGCACAAGAGAUGGGACCUUAUGGGAGGUGAUCAAGUCAUGAGGGCUCUGCUUCAUGACAGGGAUUAGGUGCCCUUAUGAAAGGGAUUGAGAAAGUAAGUUCAGUCCCUUUUGGCCCUUCUACCUACCACCAUGGAAGAAUGCCACCAUGAGAAGGAACCA